rnacentral:rRNA from 1 species
AACGAACGCUAGCUAUAUGCUUAACACAUGCAAGUCGAACGGGUGCAGCAAUGCAUCAGUGGCAGACGGGUGAGUAACACGUGGGAACCUUCCUAGAGGUACGGAACAACUCAGGGAAACUUGAGCUAAUACCGUAUACGCUCUUGCGAGGAAAGAUUUAUCGCCUUUAGACGGGCCCGCGUCGGAUUAGGUAGUUGGUGGGGUAACGGCCUACCAAGCCUACGAUCCGUAGCUGAUAUGAGAGGAUGAUUAGCCACACUGGGACUGAGACACGGCCAAGACUCCUACGGGAGGCAGCAGUGGGGAAUCUUGGACAAUGGGCGCAAGCCUGAUCCAGCCAUGCCGCGUGAGUGAAGAAGGCCUUCGGGUUGUAAAGCUCUUUUGUCAGGGACGAUAAUGACGGUACCUGAAGAAUAAGCCCCGGCAAACUUCGUGCCAGCAGCCGCAGUAAGAC